rnacentral:rRNA from 1 species
AGGACGAACGCUGGCGGCGUGCUUAACACAUGCAAGUCGAACGGAAAGGCCCUUUCGGGGGUACUCGAGUGGCGAACGGGUGAGUAACACGUGGGUGAUCUGCCCUGCACUUUGGGAUAAGCCUGGGAAACUGGGUCUAAUACCGAAUACACCUUGCUGGCUGCAUGGCCUGGUGGGGGAAAGCUUUUGCGGUGUGGGAUGGGCCCGCGGCCUAUCAGCUUGUUGGUGGGGUGAUGGCCUACCAAGGCGACGACGGGUAGCCGGCCUGAGAGGGUGUCCGGGCCACACUGGGACUGAGAUGCGGCCCAGACUCCUACGGGAGGCAGCAGUGGGGGAAUAUUGCACAAUGGGCGCAAGCCUGAUGCAGCGACGCCGCGUGAGGGAUGACGGCCUUCGGGUUGUAAACCGUCUUUCAGUAUCGACGAAGCGCAAGUGACGGUAGGUACAGAAGAAGCACCGGCCAACUACGCGCCAGCAGCCGCGGU